UACGUAGGGCGCAAGCGUUGUCCGGAUUUAUUGGGCGUAAAGAGCGUGUAGGCGGCCAGACAGGUCUGCUGUGAAAACUCGAGGCUCAACCUCGAGACGCCGGUGGAAACCGUCUGGCUAGAGUCCGGAAGAGGAGAGUGGAAUUCCUGGUGUAGCGGUGAAAUGCGCAGAUAUCAGGAAGAACACCCGUGGCUAAGGCGGCUCUCUAGUACGGUACUGACGCUGAGACGCGAAAGCGUGGGGAGCGAACAGG
rnacentral:rRNA from 1 species